AGUGAACGCUGGCGGUAGGCCUAACACAUGCAAGUCGAACGGCAGCACAGUAAGAGCUUGCUCUUACGGGUGGCGAGUGGCGGACGGGUGAGGAAUACAUCGGAAUCUACUUUUUCGUGGGUGAGAACGUAGGGAAACUUACGCUAAUACCGCAUACGACCUACGGGUGAAAGCAUGGGAUCUUCGGACCUUGCGCGAGUGAAUGAGCCGAUGUCGGAUUAGCUAGUUGGCGGGGUAAAGGCCCACCAAGGCGACGAUCCGUAGCUGGUCUGAGAGGAUGAUCAGCCACACUGGAACUGAGACACGGUCCAGACUCCUACGGGAGGCAGCAGUGGGGAAUAUUGGACAAUGGGCGCAAGCCUGAUCCAGCCAUACCGCGUGGGUGAAGAAGGCCUUCGGGUUGUAAAGCCCUUUUGUUGGGAAAGAAAAGCAGCAGGUUAAUACCCCGCUGUUCUGACGGUACCCAAAGAAUAAGCACCGGCUAACUUCGUG
rnacentral:rRNA from 1 species